UCGUUUUUGCCCCGACCCUGGCUUCAAAGAGCAUUAUUUACUGAGUUCUCUCCCAUAAAUACCCCAGAUGGUGGAGAAAGAAUUUCAUAAGCAGAGGUAUAUAUGCUAACAGAUUAGGAAGUCUGAAAUGUCGAUUUCAAAGCCACCAUGCUCUGAAUUCCCAGAAUGGACAUGAUAUCUUCAGAGAAGAAAGAAGCAUUGCUGGCU